UUCUAAGCCAUUGAUUUGAGUGCUGGCAGCAAAUAUAAAUUAGAUUAGAUGCAUUUAUUGACGUUCAUAAGUGUGUUAUCUAUAUGAAUUAAUGAAAUUUUGAUUUAAUAAUACGAGUUUAAUCUAUAGGAAUAAUUAAUUUUACCAUUCAAAUUAAGCCUAAGUGUUUGUCAGUGUUGGACUCGUUUCAAACCGGAGAUUUUAUUUUUGUUAUAAUUCUGUGCAAAGUGAAACAUAAGGAGUUAAAGAAAAACUAUAAAAUAUUUAUUAAAAUGUAUAUUUAAUAUGUAUGAAAAAUCAAUUAAAUCUAUAUAGGCCAUAAACGUAAUAAUGAAAUUUACGGACUUAUGAUUCAGCAUUAAAAUUGCGUAAAUCUUUCAACUCCUAUAAAAAGCAAAUCUUUUUUAAACUUGAGCCAGUAGACAUAUUCACACCAAAAUGAGGUUGAUUAUUGCUUGUGUAACCAUCCUCGGAAUGGCUAGAGCUGCCUUGGCAAUGUCGCCGUUUUGCACUAUUUGCAAACCAACGUCACCAGUCUGUGGGAGCGACUGGAAGACGUACAGCAGUGAAUGCAGCUUGAAAUGCGAAAACCUUUACAACUCGAACCCUCCAGUGGUUAUAUAUAAUGGCCCGUGUGAAGAUCUACUCCCGAAACCGGACCCCAUUAAUCCCUACCAACCCUGCAAUCCGCUAGAUAUUUACAGCCCAUGCUUAUUGUUGGGUGCUCAUAAAUCACACUAGAGCAAAAUGAAAUAUUAAAAUGGAAUGUGUAUUUUUUUAUUAAAUUUUAAUUUUACAUUUA